CUUGGCUAUGGAGACAUGUACCCUCAGACAUGGUCUGGCAUGCUGGUGGGAGCGCUGUGUGCUCUGGCUGGUGUGCUGACUAUCGCCAUGCCAGUGCCUGUUAUUGUCAAUAAC
rfam:Oncorhynchus mykiss Shaw-related potassium channel protein Raw1 mRNA, complete cds.